rnacentral:tRNA from 1 species
UGGCUCAGACGGUAAAGCGUCUGCCUACAAUGCGGGAGAUCCAGGUUCAAUCCCUGG